AGUGAACGCUGGCGGUAGGCCUAACACAUGCAAGUCGAACGGCAGCACAGUAAGAGCUUGCUCUUACGGGUGGCGAGUGGCGGACGGGUGAGGAAUACAUCGGAAUCUACUUUUUCGUGGGGGAUAACGUAGGGAAACUUACGCUAAUACCGCAUACGACCUACGGUUGAAAGCAGGGGAUCUUCGGACCUUGCGCGAUUGAAGGAGCCGAUGUCGGAUUAGCUAGUGGGCGGGGUAAAGGCCCACCAAGGCGACGAUCCGUAGCUGGUCUGAGAGGAUGAUCGGCCACACUGGCACUGAGACACGGUCCAGCCUCCUACGGGAGGCAGCAGUGGGGAAUAUUGGACAAUGGGCGCAAUCCUGAUCCAGCCAUACCGCGUGGGUGAAGAAGGCCUUCGGGCUGUAAAGCCCUUUUGUUGGGGAAGAAAAGCAGCGGGUUGAUACCCCGCUGUUCUGACGGUACCAAACGAAUAAGCACCGGCUAACUUCGUG
rnacentral:rRNA from 1 species